rnacentral:rRNA from 1 species
AGCUACUAAGAGCGAAUGGUGGAUGCCUUGACUGGUAAAGGCGAUGAAGGACGUACUAGACUGCGAUAAGCUACGGGGAGCUGUCAAGAAGCUUUGAUCCGUAGAUUUCCGAAUGGGGCAACCCAAUGUAUAGAGAUAUACAUUACCUAUAUAGGAGCGAACGAGGGGAAUUGAAACAUCUUAGUACCCUCAGGAAAAGAAAUCAAUAGAGAUUGCGUCAGUAUCGGCGAGCGAAAGCGCAAGAGGGCAAACCCAGUGCUUGCACUGGGGGUUGUAGGACUGCAAUGUGCAAGAGGUGAGUUUAGCAGAACAUUCUGGAAAGUAUAGCCAUAGAGGGUGAUAGUCCCGUAUGCGAAAAACAAACCUUAGCUAGCAGUAUCCUGAGUAGGGCGGGACACGAGGAAUCCUGUCUGAAUCCGGGUCGACCACGAUCCAACCCUAAAUACUAAUACCAGAUCGAUAGUGCACAAGUACCGUGAGGGAAAGGUGAAAAGAACUGAGGUGAUCAGAGUGAAAUAGAACCUGAAACCAUUUGCUUACAAUCAUUCAGAGCCCUAUGUAGCAAUACAGGGUGAUGGACUGCCUUUUGCAUAAUGAGCCUGCGAGUUGUGGUGUCUGGCAAGGUUAAGCAAACGCGAAGCCGUAGCGAAAGCGAGUCUGAAUAGGGCGCUUAGUCAGAUGCUGCAGACCCGAAACGAAGUGAUCUAUCCAUGAGCAAGUUGAAGCUAGUGUAAGAACUAGUGGAGGACUGAACCCAUAGGCGUUGAAAAGCCCCGGGAUGACUUGUGGAUAGGGGUGAAAGGCCAAUCAAACUUCGUGAUAGCUGGUUCUCUCCGAAAUAUAUUUAGGUAUAGCGUUGUGUCGUAAUAUAAGGGGGUAGAGCACUGAAUGGGCUAGGGCAUACACCAAUGUACCAAACCCUAUCAAACUCCGAAUACCUUAUAUGUAAUCACAGCAGUCAGGCGGCGAGUGAUAAAAUCCGUCGUCAAGAGGGAAACAACCCAGACUACCAGCUAAGGUCCCUAAAUCUUACUUAAGUGGAAAACGAUGUGAAGUUACUUAAACAACCAGGAGGUUGGCUUAGAAGCAGCCAUCCUUUAAAGAAAGCGUAAUAGCUCACUGGUCUAGUGAUUUUGCGCGGAAAAUAUAACGGGGCUAAAGUAAGUACCGAAGCUGUAGACUUGCGCACAACUUAGAUUAUUUAAGUUUAGAAUAUGAGAAACUAAGUUAUAUGUUUAGUUAUAUUUUUACUGAUUUUUAUAGAGUAAAGAUAGAAAUAAAACUUAGUAAAAUCAGUAAAAAUAUUCUUAGACUAAAGUUAAGUAGUUUAAGUUGUGUGCAAGUGGUAGGAGAGCGUUCUAUUUGCGUCGAAGGUAUACCGGUAAGGAGUGCUGGAGCGAAUAGAAGUGAGCAUGCAGGCAUGAGUAGCGAUAAUUAAUGUGAGAAUCAUUAACGCCGUAAACCCAAGGUUUCCUACGCGAUGCUCGUCAUCGUAGGGUUAGUCGGGUCCUAAGUCGAGUCCGAAAGGGGUAGACGAUGGCAAAUUGGUUAAUAUUCCAAUACCAACAUUAGUGUGCGAUGGAAGGACGCUUAGGGCUAAGGGGGCUAGCGGAUGGAAGUGCUAGUCUAAGGUCGUAGGAGGUUAUACAGGCAAAUCCGUAUAACAAUACUCCGAGAACUGAAAGGCUUUUUGAAGUCUUCGGAUGGAUAGAAGAACCCCUGAUGCCAUCGAGCCAAGAAAAGUUUCUAAGUUUAGCUAAUGUUGCCCGUACCGUAAACCGACACAGGUGGGUGGGAUGAGUAUUCUAAGGCGCGUGGAAGAACUCUCUUUAAGGAACUCUGCAAAAUAGCACCGUAUCUUCGGUAUAAGGUGUGGUUCGCUUCGUAUUAGGAUUUACUCCGAAAGCGAAGAAACUUACAACAAAGAGUCCCUCCCGACUGUUUACCAAAAACACAGCACUCUGCUAACUCGUAAGAGGAUGUAUAGGGUGUGACGCCUGCCCGGUGCUCGAAGGUUAAUUGAUGGGGUUAGCAUUAGCGAAGCUCUUGAUCGAAGCCCGAGUAAACGGCGGCCGUAACUAUAACGGUCCUAAGGUAGCGAAAUUCCUUGUCGGUUAAAUACCGACCUGCAUGAAUGGCGUAACGAGAUGGGAGCUGUCUCAAAGAGGGAUCCAGUGAAAUUGUAGUGGAGGUGAAAAUUCCUCCUACCCGCGGCAAGACGGAAAGACCCCGUGGACCUUUACUACAGCUUGACACUGCUAUUUGGAUAAGAAUGUGCAGGAUAGGUGGGAGGCUUUGAGUAUAUGACGCCAGUUGUAUAUGAGCCAUUGUUGAGAUACCACUCUUUCUUAUUUGGGUAGCUAACCAGCUUGAGUUAUCCUC